CCACAACAGCUGAGAGAAGCCUUAGGGAGAGAGGCCCCUCCUCCCUCUUCAUCCCUUCCCCAGAAGAAGAGCUCUCAGGAAGAGGUACUUACGGAGAGACUUUCCAGAGAGUUGGAGGAAGUCUUGCCUGGAUGGGAUUAUAUGCUGCUAGGGAGCCUUAGGGGACUCUGCAUCAGCCUGAAGGUAGAAGUAGUCUAGACUAGAGAAGCAGCAGUAAGUCUAUGGAAGCAGACCCUGGCUAUUUAAUACAGGGUCCUUGGCUAGAAUGCAGAGCAGAGGGAGGUCCUGGGUUCUCCUACUGCAUCCCAAAGAAAGAGAGGUAAAAUAAACCCUGACACAAAGCAGGAUAAGGGCUGUUGAGCCUAUGGUGGGGUUGAAGGCCUGGGACAGAUUUAUUAGAGUUCUGCUUUUGUUGGACUCUUUAUUACUCUGGAAUGGGUAGAACUAUAAGUGAUCUAGCUGGAGGAUGGAGUUGUGAAAAGGGGUAAGCUGUCCCACACUCGGAGUGACCAUUAUCAUGGGACGCCAGAGCUGAAGAGGCUGCUACACCCAGCUUGGCCAUGAUGAGGUGUACUGACUGGGGCUUUUAUCUCCUUUUUAUGUCUGGUAAGUCCCAGAACAUUUUGGGCAUUUCCAGAAACAAAUAAUAACAGGACAUGGAGAGCACUUCUUUGCAUAAUCAAGACAAUAAUUCUCUGCUGAAGAAAUACCUCCAGAUGUACAUGACCAGGGCGAUUGACUGUAAGCAAGAUCUCUGUGUAAAGUAAAUGGGAAAUAGUAAUUCUUUCUAGACAAUGAAGUCCACUGGAUAAACUUCUGAUUUAUGCCUGCUUUUCUAUUGCUGUUUUUCUAUCUCCUUACCAAUGUCACUAUUAAAUAUACCUUGAAAUUGUAUUAACUCA